rfam:TPA: Bos taurus chromosome 9, whole genome shotgun sequence.
UCCUUGGUGGUCUUGUGGUUAAGACUCUCCACUUCCAAUGCAGGGGGCACAGGUUUGAUUCCUGGUCAGGAAA